rnacentral:misc_RNA from 1 species
AACCAUAGAAACCUGCGGAGUACCUGCGGAAGGAUCGUUACAGAGUUGCAAAACUCCCACAAACCAUCGCGAAUCUUACCCGUACGGUUGCCUCGGCGCUGGCGGUCCGGAAGGCCCUCGGGCCCCCGGACCCUCGGGUCCCCCGCUCGCGGGGGGCUGCCCGCCGGAGUGCCGAAACCAAACUCUUGAUAUUUUAUGUCUCUCUGAGUAAACUUUUAAAUAAGUCAAAACUUUUAGCAA